rnacentral:tRNA from 1 species
AGAGACCGAGUGUGGCCCUGUAGUAGAGCAUCUGCUUCACAUGCAGAAGGUCCCAAAUUCAAUCCUUGGCAUCUCUA